AUUGAACGCUGGCGGCAGGCCUAACACAUGCAAGUCGAGCGGAUGAAGGGAGCUUGCUCCUGGAUUCAGCGGCGGACGGGUGAGUAAUGCCUAGGAAUCUGCCUGGUAGUGGGGGAUAACGUCCGGACACGGGCGCUAAUACCGCAUACGUCCUGAGGGUGAACGUGGGGGAUCUUCGGACCUCACGCUAUCAGAUGAGCCUAGGUCGGAUUAGCUAGUUGGUGGGGUAAAGGCCUACCAAGGCGACGAUCCGUAACUGGUCUGAGAGGAUGAUCAGUCACACUGGAACUGAGACACGGUCCAGACUCCUACGGGAGGCAGCAGUGGGGAAUAUUGGACAAUGGGCGAAAGCCUGAUCCAGCCAUGCCGCGUGUGUGAAGAAGGUCUUCGGAUUGUAAAGCACUUUAAGUUGGGAGGAAGAGCAGUAAGUGAAUACUUGGCUGUUUUGACGUUACCAACAGAAUAAGCACCGGCUAACUUCGUG
rnacentral:rRNA from 1 species